UGUAGUUGUGGAUGUAGAUAUGUUGGCCAGACUUUACAGUAUUUGAAGUCUAGAACUGGUCAGCAUAAAUAUAACAUAGACAUCAGUAACAAUGAACAUAGCGCAUUAUGUGAUCAUGCAAUUUCUACUGGUCACACGCCGCUAUGGGAAGAUGUUAAAAUUGUCUAUCGAGAAAGUAAUCAAAAGAAGAGAGACAUUCUAGAAAUGAUUGCGAUAAAAAAGACACCGAAUUGUCUCAACAAACAGACUGAUUGCAUAUUCUUGCCGUCGACAUAAAACAACAUUAUCUGAAAUUCUGGUGAAAUUUGCACUGUGUGCUAUUGCUUUUUUACACGAAUUUGUGUUUUUUACGAUUAGUUAGAUACACUCAGUCUAGUUGAAUGUCUGUUGUUACAGACUUCUUUCAUUGAUUAAUUUAAAGAUUUUUGAUGUUUGUGACUACCAAUGUUUAAGUUUUUAGUAAGUUGACCGGUGAUUAGUUUGCUAAGUUGUUAUUCUAAUGUGAAAUUAUGUAUUUUAGUUUAGCAUUGGAGUCGCAUAUGACGAAGCACACUUUUUAAUGCGUGUCUAAACUUAUUAUAUAAACAUUCGUGGUAUGUGUGUUGCUAUAUGUUGUAUUAUGAUUAGGUCCUCAUGAAAUUAAUGUUUUCAGCCACUGAUGAUGGCAUCUAUUUGAUGUCGAAAUUAAUUUGGCAAAAAUAAAUUGAUUUUGGAACAAAUUGAGCGAUACCGAUUUUCUCUACAAGUAA